UGCGAAGAAGGGAACAUGCCGGGUACCAGCGGGGAGCACCCGCUCCAUCCGCCCGAGCACCAGGAGCCCGGCAGCGGUACCGGACGCCUGUUACCCCUCCCUAGCCAGGCCACACGAGGUACCCCUUCCCCAGCCCGCCUUUCCCGCCGCCGCCGGCCGGCUCCACCCCGCCACCGCCCCCCGCUCCUCCCUCCUCCUCCUCCCGCGGCAGCCAUGGUGCGGCGCGGCCGGCGGCGGCGGCGGCGGGCGGCAAAGGGCCCGGCGACGAGCCGCGGCAAGAAACAGAUACCCCAGGAUGUGGCUGACAUUUUUAAUGCUCCCAGUGACAAAGAUUUUAUUGGGUUCCAAGAUGAUGCUUCCAAACAGAGGUUGUUGUCAGAAGACAGCUAUGCUUGUUUUGAUCACCUGGAGUCAGAACAAAAGGGCGUUCGAUUUCAGUCCAGAUACCUCACUGAAGAACUGCGGAGGAUUUUCACUGAAGACACUGAUUCUGAAACGGAAGCGUUUGAAGGCUUCACUUCAAGCGAGGUGGAUGUGAACAAGAAAGGAGUUCUGGCAACAGAGUCAGACUUGAGUGAUGAAGAACACGAUAAUUUAUUGGGUAGUGAGGAAGAAGAGGAGGAAGAGGUGAAGAAGAAAGUUUCUCCCAAGAGAAGGUUUGGCCUUCGUGUUUCCUUUCAGUUUCCUACCAGAAAGUCAUCUGAGAAAAAAGUGCCUGAACAGGCUUUUUCUAACUUACCUCUAAAGAACAAUGAAUCCCUCACACCUCUUUCAAAAGAAAUAAGCUGCAAGCGAUGGGAUAAACUAGAGGGCUCUGCUUCAGAAUCUGAAGAAGACAUUAAAGAAACACAGGAGGAAACUUCCAGCGCUCUGCUUAAGAGAGCCAUGAAUAUUAAAGAAAAUAAAGCCAUGCUUGCCCAGUUGCUGGCAGAACUAAAUUCCAUACCUGACCUCUUCCCAGUGAAAACGCCCGCGUCGACUCCUUCGAAACAGAAGAAAACCCCAAGGAGGACAUUUUCUGAAGGCCAGAUAACACGUCGCAUGAACCCAACCAGAAACGCUCGUCCACCAGAGAAAUUUGCCUUGGAAAAAUUUACUGUUUCGGCUGUCAAAUUUGCAGAACACUUCCGUAGCUAUAGACAACAAAACCUCUUGAAAAAGAGACUCACUCUGCAGGGGGAUUGUGGAGUGCGCAAGAGAAGGAGAUCAUCAAAAUAUUCAUCUCACCGUCCAGUAGAGGAUAUUACUGAGGAGGACUUGGACAACAUUGCAAUCACUGUUAAAGACAAAAUCUAUGACAAAGUUCUAGGUAGUACUUGCCACCAGUGUCGACAAAAGACAAUGGAUACGAAGACAAUCUGUCGCAACGAGGGCUGUGGAGGAGUAAGGGGGCAGUUUUGUGGACCGUGUCUUCGAAAUCGAUAUGGGGAAGAUGUUAAAUCUGCCCUGCUUGAUCCGGCCUGGAUCUGUCCUCCUUGCCGGGGGGUGUGCAACUGCAGCCAUUGCCGCCGGCAGGACGGGCGCUGUGCCACAGGCAUGCUCAUCCACUUGGCCAAGUUCUACGGCUACAACAACGUCAAGGAGUACCUGGAGAGUUUACAAAAGCAACUGGCGGAUGACAAUUGAGAACCCUGAACUCAAGCUGGGCCUGCAGCAGCAGCCUGAUAUGUUGACAAGUUUUGACUUCAAAAGGUAUGUCCAAAAUCAAUUGUAGAAGGUCAUCUGCAAGAGACAGGUUGCUGGCAACAGAAUGUGAGUAUGCUCAAUCCUGUAAAACUUGUCUUGAGGAGAAACCUGAACAUCACCAUUACUCAUGUUAACACACCUUAAGAAACUGACAAAAAUUGGUAAGAACAGUUGAUGGCUUCUUCAAUGGAAAUUGCCUGAUACCAUCAUACAAAUCAGGAGCAUAAGCAUCUAACAAACUGAUUAACAGCAUACUGCAGCACACAUUGCCAUGAGAUAUUAGAGGAAUUUCAAAAAACACUGCCUAUUUUUUUCCAUAUCUAAUCAUCUGCAAGUGGAUAUUGCCAGUGGCAGGGUAGGGGAGAAGGGAGUCCUGCAAGAUGUCGAACACCUCUAGCACUUGUGACAAGGGAGGGGACAAAGCCUUGCUUUAGGAAAGUAUCAGCAUUUCUGCAAAACUCCCUUCAAAGUAACACUGACUUGCAGAAAAACAAAUUUUGGACAGAAAAGAAAAAAAAGACGGGGGAACACAGCUGCUGGUUUUAUAUCACUGGAAUAGCUCUGUGUAGUAGCUAAACCCUCUUACUUUAGCGUAUUUACCAGUGGGCGAGGCUGUAUGUGGAUGGAUGUGCCAGUUCAGUCCAUGUGUCUGGCAAAGCAUCCUAGAAGAGUGCACUUCCAUGUGAGGAGAAAACAUCAACUCCCCCUUUGUUUGGAGAACAAUUAAAAGUAUACUGGCAUCAUAAAGAAUAGCUAUUCAUUUCCAAAAAAGGUCAUAGGGGCUCCAGGCAGUGGUCUUCUGCAUGAUUUCUGCCAUAUUAAACUUGUGAAGCAUCUACAGAAUAUCAUCCAGGUCAUUCUUAACCUUUCUAGACCGAAAUCAUCGUAAUCAGCUCUUUUUGACUCUUCUGCUUUCAAGCCUGGAUUUUUCUCCAGGAGGGCACAAACCUCCCAUUUUCUUAGGCAGAUAAAAUCCAGAGAUGCUCCCCGACUUUUGCUGUCUCUGGCAACAGUAUGAGAGAAAUGAAUGCAAACCAGUUAACAGCUUCCAUUUAGCUUUACAUUUUCAUGUAACACUGACACUCAGACUCCACCAAGACAUGGUCCCUGGGCUUAGAUGACUGCUUGUACAAGGGUGUACCCUUAGAUUGCCUUUGUUUUUCAGUCAAGUAGUAGUUUGCAUUUCUUAUAGAACCUCAUAGCUUCUAUCUCCCCCUUCACUGCCCACAGUCCUUACUGACUCAGGCAUUAGGCAAAAUACAAGUGCAGGCACAUGCGCACGUCUCACACCCCGAAAAAGCCUCUCUCCCUCCUCACAGGCCUGCUCUGGAACUGAGACAGAACACAAAUGAAAAACAAUGCGUAACAGUACUAAUGAACAGGAACUGAAAGCAGAACAUUAAUGCAGCUCAGUCUUUGUUUCAGCCUUAGCUUUGGCAGAAGGAAUUAUGAAUGCAGUAUAUAAUUGUCUACACUCACCAAAGUGCACAGGAACUAAACGUGAAAAGCACAAGCUCGCCCUGUGACAUAAAGCGUUGUUUGGCUACUUGUGUGCAGUGCUGUCAUAUUCCCUUCCGUAAAACUCCCAUGAUCUGAUGGAGAUAAGGGAAAAAAAAAAAACGAGUGCCCAGAGGAAAGGAGUAAAGAAAGGCAUGGAGAGUUGCAGAGCGGGAGUGGCAGUUGCAAGGGAAUUUAAUUAACUCUGGUAAGGAUAAGGAGCUAAAGCCUCAGCCUCUUAAUAUGGCAGUUUUGGGGGGAUCUGGACAUGGUUACUCAGGCCUACAUUCGGAAAGGAAAGUGUAGAAGGCAGCAAGCAGGAUCUGAUAACAGAGCUAGCUAAGAUUUCUGAUUACAUUUUCCUUUCCUGCUCAUCCUUUAUUCAUUUUAGCUAUUAAGCACAGCACCAGUGCUGUUCCAUGCUGAAAACUCAGCCUUUUACAUAUUUCUGGAAUCAGUUUGGCUCUACUAAGAAUCUGGCUGAGAUAUUUUGACUGUGAACAGAACAACAGUACCCCAGUUAAUUCCAUAUGAAAUGACAAGCUUAUCUUUGUAUUAGGGUUGGUCCCUUCCACUCAGCAUUGGAUAGCUUAUAGGUAUUAUUGUUCUGCUGAACUCCAGAUUUGGGGCUAAGAGAUGGUCAGAGAGCCUCCUUGCCCAGAUUUCACCUUUUUGGACUACCAGAAAACUAAAACUCCCUGAAAGCCUCCUCUGCAGCUGCUGCUUGCAUGGGAAGUCUGUUGGAGAAGCCACGUGGCUCCUGCUCAGAUCCAGGGCCAAGGAAGGGAAGCGGUGGGAGAGCACCGUGCUUGGGCUGCUCUUCCUGGCGUGGAGACUCAACAUAUCACUGCUGGGCUGUGCUCUAAAUGUGGCAGAAAGAAGACAGGACUGUGGGCUGAAACUUGCUUAUAAAGAAAACAGCAAGAUAAAGUAAUCUCUUGUUUCCCACGCCAUAUUGAGUUCAAACUGAAAAAGAAACAGUCUGCACAACAGGUUAAGUGUUCCUCUGGUCCAGAUUCCUCCCUAGUGCAGUACAUUGCACAGGCUGGUGCAUUAUCACUACUAUUAACACUCGGCUGAUCUUUGCUAAUUGGAAGCACUUCUUUUUUUCCCUAGAAAUGCUGAAAUAACACAGUAAAAUGUGUGCUACACAUGUCAUUAACAGCACCAACAACGCACCAGAUGAAGAACUUCACGUUUUCUUCUGCAGACUGGCCUGAUCCCUCUCCUACAGAUGAAUUCAUGGGCAGCAUUUCCAAAAGAGUUUUGAAGAGAUUAUCUGACGCUGCUGUCAAGUAUCCCACCUCAGCAUUGUGAUGCAGUCCAUAUAGUACUGGGCUUUCAGAUGGAAGCAUUUCAUCUGUGUAUUUAUGGUAUCCAGCAUAAUCCAGAUUUGGUGGUGCCAAAGCCAGUUUCCCUUCAAACUUAAGAAAAAGAAUCAAUAGUAUUAUUGAUGACACUGUCCCCAGUUCUUGAAACAUUAUUCUGCAUCUAGAAAACUUCAGAAAUUUGUCUUGAAUCUACAAAAAUGGCACCUGUAUGUUCUGAUACAGUGGAACAGGGUUACCAAACUCUUUUCAACACAGUUACUAUUUGCACUCUUUCCACUUCAAUACUGCAGUAUUGAAGUACUGUUGCUGCUUUCUUUUCCUUCAUAAGGAUGCUCUGAGUUUGUUUUAGGGCCUGCCAAUACCAAGGCAAGUGUAUUUUAAGCACUAAAUUUCUGCAUCCCCUCAGAAAAGAAGCAAGGAUUAUUGUGCCUUUUUGUAGAUGAGAGACACCAAUACAGUCACACAGGACACCCGUGGGAGAGGCAGGACUGGAGCCUCAACUCACCUAAGCCCCUAUCCCAAUACACGAGCCACAACAUCAAUUCUGUUUGGUGUGUCAUUAAUUAGGGGCUUUGCACAGAAACACUGGGCUCAUAAUAACUUCAAAGAGGUCACAGGGAGCGACAGGUGGAUGAGACAGGUUAGCGCGGUGUGGAAAUGGGAUAGCAAAUGCAAGUAUAGGAGCAAUUCUUAGCUUGUCAGAAACAGUGAUUCCAGUCACUGAUUCCACAUAACUUGUUGCCCGUUAAAACACCCAGGAGCUGAAAUGGAAAGGAAAACAUGCUACUCCACUACAUGUCUCCAAGUGUAGGAGUUUUGCUCAGGGUUUUGUACUGCUGCUUUGGCCUCAGUGAGAUAGACAGCAGUGACUAUUUUUACAGCAGAGAAAAUUAAGGUCUCAACCAGCUCCAUAUUGAACAGGCAGGCCCUACCACUGUCAGAAUAUUAACAAUAAAACUUGAGACUUUGGAACAGGUCAAGAAUUAAGUAGGUAGACUUGGUGAGAUGCACUCUUGCAGGGCUGCCCUGCUACUGAUGACAGGACAGAAUAAAAGCUGUAACAAUCAUGUUUGUUUUCUAGGCUUCCCCAGGCUCGUGCUCUGUAAGGACUUCACUGGAUUCAAAGAGUUUCUCUGAAAUUACUGUCACAGAGUUGUCUGGGAUUUAGCACAGACUCGCAAGUUGUGUUUUGCUGAAAAAUAUUUCUGGCCCUAAGUGGUACUUUUCACAGGAGCUAUUUCUUCCUAAUGCAGGGUCCACUCCACAAAAUCACAAUAAAAUUUAACGGCUUUUGGCAUUUAGAA